rnacentral:rRNA from 1 species
AACGAACGCUGGCGGCGUGCUUAACACAUGCAAGUCAAACGGUAAGGCCCUUCGGGGUACACGAGUGGCGAACGGGUGAGUAACACGUGGGUGAUCUGCCCUGCACUUCGGGAUAAGCCUGGGAAACUGGGUCUAAUACCGGAUAGGACCAUUGCCUGCAUGGGUGGUGGUGGAAAGCUUUUGCGGUGUGGGAUGGGCCCGCGGCCUAUCAGCUUGUUGGUGGGGUGAUGGCCUACCAAGGCGACGACGGGUAGCCGGCCUGAGAGGGUGACCGGCCACACUGGGACUGAGAUACGGCCCAGACUCCUACGGGAGGCAGCAGUGGGGAAUAUUGCACAAUGGGCGCAAGCCUGAUGCAGCGACGCCGCGUGAGGGAUGACGGCCUUCGGGUUGUAAACCUCUUUCAGCAUCGACGAAGCGCAAGUGACGGUAGGUGCAGAAGAAGGACCGGCCAACUACGUGCCAGCCGCCGCCGUAA